UACAGAGACUGCAAGCGUUAUUCGGAUUCACUGGGCGUAAGGGGUGCGCAGGCGGCCAAGUGUGUCAGGUGUGAAAUCCCGGAGCUUAACUCCGGAACUGCGCCUGAAACUACUUGGCUAGAGCAUUGGAGAGGGAAGUGGAAUUCACGGUGUAGCAGUGAAAUGCGUAGAUAUCGUGAGGAACACCAGAGGCGAAGGCGACUUCCUGGACAAUUGCUGACGCUCAGGCACGAAAGCGUGGGGAGCCAAAGGG
rnacentral:rRNA from 1 species